AUGGCCCCCGCCUCGCUGGAGGAGCUCCAUUGCGCGCCCGCGCCGGAGAAGCCCCCGCCCUCGGCCCCGGAGGGCGAGCUCCGGUGGCUCCGGCGGUGCGCGGGGGAUGGCGACGACCUCCGCUGGCUCCGCCGCUGCGUGGGGGCCGCCACCAAGGGCUUCGCCAUCGGCGCCGGGCUCAAGGGCGGCCUCGCGCUCUUCUCCCUCCUCGUCCGCCUCCGCAGCCGCCGCUCCCCCAGAUCGAGGAAGGCGGGCGCGAUGACCAACGACGAGGCGGCGCUCCUGGCGCUCAAGGAGACGCUCAGGUACGGCAUGUUCCUCGGCACCUUCGCCGGCGCCUACGUCUCCGUCGACGAGUGCAUCGCCGCCCUCUGGGGCCGCAAAAGAACAGCAAGGUGGAGGUCAUUAUUAUCUGGGUUAAUUGCUGGUCCUUCUAUGCUCUUGACGGGGCCAGGCACGCAGCAUACCAGUUUGGCAAUAUACAUUCUCAUGCGUGCUGCGGUGCUUGCAUCCCGUUGUGGAAUAAAGAGCAAAAGAUUUGGAAAGAUUUGCAAACCUUUGACCUGGUCACAUGGUGAUGUCUUCCUUAUGUGCCUUUCAUCUGCACAAAUUUUAUCUGCAUACAUUCUACAGCAGGACAGUUUGCCGUCAUCAUAUAAAUCAUUUCUGAAGAUGCAUGGUGGAAAGGAUCAGUCUAUUCUGCAAGGCUUGAAGGAAGUAGUUAACCACACUGCUUUCUCUAACCUAGAGGCUAUUGAGAAGUACUACAAAUCUGUUGGUGUUGACAUAAAGUUGGAUCCAGACAUGAAAGUGCCCUGCUCAAUUGUGCAUGGUAAUCAAUCAUGUGCAGGACAUUUUAUUUCGUUCUUGUUACAAGCAUAUGGAAGAGCAGUUCCUGUCUAUAUUCCAGUCUACCUAGUCCCUGCACUUGUAGUUCAUCGGCAGGAUCUGAUGAAAAGGCCUUACACAAUAAUGGGCAAGAGUCUUCUAGGAACAGCAAGAUCUAGCCUGUUCCUCUCAAUGUAUUGCGCAUCUGCAUGGGCUUGGACAUGCUUCCUUUUUAGAACCUUCGAGAAGUGCAGUACUCCACUCGUUGUACUUGGCACGUUCCCGGCGGGUCUGGCACUGUUUAUCGAGAAGAAAAGCAGGAGAACCGAGAUAUCCCUGUACUGCCUUGCCAGAGCCAUCGAGAGUUUCUUCACAUGCAUGACCGACGCCGGACUCUGCCCUCCAAUAUUGCAGAUCAAGCGAGCUGAUGUAGUGGUUUUCAGCAUGGCCACCUCGAUCAUUAUGCACUGCUAUGCCCAGGAAAGGGAGGUUUUCCGGUCCAAGUACCUGAAUGUCCUCGACUGGGUAUUCGGUGUGCCGCUUCCGUCGGAGGACGAUGAAAGCAAACACCAUUCUAGUACAUCCAGUGAUGGAAUCAAGAAAGGAAUAUUCACCAUUGGAUGA
rnacentral:rRNA from 1 species